rnacentral:rRNA from 1 species
UACGUAGGAAGCGAGCGUUGUUCGGAAUUACUGGGCGUAAAGCGCGUGUAGGCGGGUAGGUAAGUCUGGUGUGAAAGCGCCUGGCUUAACCGGGCGAGGGCGGCGGAAACUGCUUACCUGGAGGGCGGUAGAGGGGGGUGGAAUUCCCGGUGUAGUGGUGAAAUGCGUAGAGAUCGGGAGGAACCCCUGUGGCGAAGGCGGCCCCCUGGGCCGCACCUGACGCUGAGACGCGAAGGCGUGGGGAGCGAACGGG